GGGCCUGUAGCUCAGCUGGGAGAGCACCACACUGGCAGUGUGGGGGUCAUCGGUUCGAUCCCGAUCAGGUCCACCA
rnacentral:tRNA from 1 species